ensembl:lncRNA
UCACGCUCAAUGAGCAGAUUCACGUAGUGGCAAUAAUACGGGCUUUGGAAUCAGGCCCCCACGAUUCAACUCUAGCAAAGCUAUGUAUUAGCUUUAUUUUUCUUAAUCUCAGCCUACCUAUUUGUAAAACUGAGGUGAAUGCUACCUGCCUCCAGGAUUGUGAAGACCACGUUAAGAUAGAUUUCCUGUUCUGGGCUCUUAGCGCAUUUUAAAUAAAGGUUAUUUUCUUUGUUUCCAUCUAGUAUUAUGACUUACACACAAAUAAAUGCUUAGGAGGUGUUCUUCGAAUUGAAAUUGUGAAAUUUUGCUCCUGGCAGCCAAAAUCUUUACCCUUGUUUCCUUUUGGGAUUCUGCUCCUUUUCCUUUCCUUUCUUUCUUUCUUUUUUUUUUUUGAGGAAGAUUAGCCCUGAGCUAACGUCUGCUGCCAAUCCUCCUCUUUUUGCUGAGGAAGACUGGCCCUGAGCUAACAUCCGUGCCUAUCUUCCUCUACUUUAUAUGUGGGACGCCUACCACAGCAUGGCUUGCCAAGCAGUACCAUGUCCACACCCAGGAUCCCAACCAGCAAACCCCGGGCCGCUAAAGCGGAACGUGUGCACUAAACCACUGCACCACCAGGCCGGCCCCUCUGCUCCUUUUCUGACCUUAACUUGGCUAUGAAUUCUACUGUCCUGCUCCCAGAUCAUAGCGACAUCUGCUGAGUUGAUUUUCACCCCUGAGGAGUCGAGUGAUCAUGGAGAAAGAGGCAGAGCACAGAAAGAGAAGGCUGCAACCACCACAACACCCUCAUGGGCACGUGGGGAGAGAAAAGAGCACAGCUGAGCUAGAACACAGGUAGUUUUCAUCAGCCUGGUGGUUUCCCCAGGCACGGCGUCCUGAAUACGCUCCCUAGUGCGGUUUCGCCCAUUCUCAGUGCCUCAAUCCCAUAACACAAGAGAAUAAAAAAUAAAACAGCCUUCUCAAUAAGAAGUAGCAGGGUUAUGUUAAAAAUCCGUGUGAAUGCUUAGUUCCUUCCUAAUUCUCACUUCCUGAUGGAAGGCCACUGACACUAACAGUAACCUAAGCUAAAAUUGCCUUUCUCUUUAAGCUUGCUUAAUUGUAGGGUUCAGAGAAGGUGAAAUAUUUUGCUAGCGUCUGUAAGAUGGAAUAGAGAUUAGUUUGGUGAUUUUCAACAGUGUUGUAACAGAGGCUGUAGUGGAGUGACUAAGGAAGUUAAUAAAAUCUGAAAUAGCUACUCAACCUGGAUAAACAGCCUGCCGUUAUAGACGCAGCCUACACCCUUAGCAGCCAGAGUGGCGCCGCCAAGCCGCGUCCCCGGGAACUACAUGAGCGUCUCAGCAUCAAGCCGCCGUAGCUUGGAACUGUGCGUGCGUUCACAUCUGUGCUUUAUCUCCAGUUAUUUUGGUAGGUUAUUUUUUCGGUCUGGGAAGGCUCAAAACUUUUUCCCAUAUAAAUUAAUGGCAAUUACUUCUUCCCUUUAUGCCUUUUCGGCUUAUGAAAGGUCUUAUAGGAAUGCUCUACCUUCACAUAGCGGGGAAAACCUGUAACAGAAUUAGAGCAAAAGAAAAGUUAGCCCCUUGGCACGCAUUGCAAUUGGUUUUGACUUCUAUUUUAAAAUAUAUAAGACUAAGGACAUAAGUCAGACGAAGCUCCCUUGAUCUCUCUCCUCAGCAUUCCCAGGGCCAAAGAAGGGCGUGUGGAAGUGGGCCCACUUGACCACAGGAAGCCAGCUCUGGAGGCACAGGGAGCCCAUUUUAUGGCUAGUUGCCAUCACCUGCACACACCCCGCUCUCUAGCAGGCUCCGGCGUCGCUGGAGAUUGUGAACAUCGCUAAUCAGAUGUUAAUUGAAUGCACAGGAAAAGGAAAUAAAUUCGUCUUCUGAAAGGGCAGCUGGAAAGGGGUUCGACUGCUCAAGUUCGGAUUUACAUUCCAAAGCAGUCCCAAGGCCAAACACACUCCAGCCUGAGCAGAAGGAAAACCCCUCUCCUCUUUCCAGCAUCGCUGGAAAACACAGCUCCCAAGAGGGAGGGUUCUGGAACCGAGAGCUUGGCGGCGCCCUGUGGUCCCUCAGGAAAUAGGGGCGAGACAAAGGACGCCGGCUCCUGGGAGGUCCCUAAAUUCGAAGCCAAUCCCUCUUCCUAGCC